ACGGCUCAGUAACACGUGGACAACCUACCCUGAGGUCGGGGAUAAACCCGGGAAACUGGGUAUAAUACCCGAUAGAUCUAGAUUGCUGGAAUGCUUUUAGGUCUAAAGUUCCGGCGCCUCAGGAUGGGUCUGCGGCCUAUCAGGGUAGUAGUGGGUGUAAAGUACCUACUAGCCUACGACGGGUACGGGUUGUGAGAGCAAGAGCCCGGAGAUGGAUUCUGAGACACGAAUCCAGGCCCUACGGGGUGCAGCAGGCGCGAAACCUUUACAAUGCUGGCAACAGCGAUAAGGGGACCUCGAGUGCUACGAUACAAUCGUGGCUGUCUAGUUGCCUAAAAAGCAAUUGAUAGCAAGGGCCGGGCAAGACCGGUGCCAGCCGCCGCGGUAACACCGGCGGCUCGAGUGGUAACCGCUAUUAUUGGGUCUAAAGGGUCUGUAGCCGGCUUAGUUAGUCUCUUGAGAAAUCUGGCCGCUCAACGGUCAGGCGUUCAGGGGAUACUGCUAAAGCUCGAGACCGGGAGAGGUGAGAGGUACUUCAGGGGUAGGGGUGAAAUCUUGUAAUCCUUGAAGGACCACCAGUGGCGAAGGCGUCUCACCAGAACGGAUCUGACGGCAAGGGACGAAAGCUAGGGGCACGAACCGGAUUAGAUACCCGGGUAGUCCUAGCCGUAAACGAUACUCGCUAGGUGUCGGCCACGGUGCGACCGUGGUCGGUGCCGUAGGGAAGCCGUGAAGCGAGCCACCUGGGAAGUACGGCCGCAAGGCUGAAACUUAAAGGAAUUGGCGGGGGAGCAC
rnacentral:rRNA from 1 species